GACAGACAGAAAGGCUCCCUGGUGAUACAUUUCAGCCUUCAAACCAACACAGCAGCAUAGCAGCAAGGCCUAUUCCUGGACUGUUCAGUUACAUAAUCUAGUAAGUUCCUAUUUCAUUUAAGCCAGUGUUUGGAUCCGAUUUUUCUCUCCCUUGCUACCAAAAGAGUUCUAACUUAUACAUAGGUUCAGAAUCUCUCACGACCAAGGAAUAUUCUCAGAUACUGAAUAUGUCAUAAAAAUUAAUAUGAAAAAUACUUAAAAGGGAGUAAGUGUACCUAUAACUUAUGUCCAGUAUCUUUGCUGUCUUUAAAUAGUAAUGUCCACCUGUGAUGUAAUGCAAUAUAGAAAAGAGUUUAAACAGGUAUUCCUGAUAUUAUAUGACUUAAUGAACAAACUCUAGUCGUUAUUAUGGUGAUGUGCCCUGGGGGCAGUUUCCUCAAGUCUGAGCAUGUACUUUUGUUUCCUUUUCGAAUCUAAAUUAUUUCUCAUUAUCAUGGAAUAAAAUAAUCUUGAAGAUAUUUAGCAAUAUUGAUAAAUCAUUGGCACACAUAAGCCUAUAAUUAUAAAAGUGGUGGUCCCAUGCUGUGAUGCUUGAAUUUCUCUGGCUAUUUCUUUUACUCAAACAGUGCUGUUCUGCGAAACAGACACAACAGGCUGGUCAGCAUGACCACGUGACAUGACCACAGUCUCUUGGCUGAGAGACAUUUGUGCCUGGAGUUGGACAUCACUGUGAAGACACUGUUCACUUCAGGAAAACUUCGUGCUUCAGUCAAUACUUCCAGCCUUCCCCGCGGUGACCUUUGCGCUCUCCACCCCAGGUGUCCACAUCCUUGUCAAAGGGGCUGAAGCAAGCACAUCUGAACGGGUCUGGCUGCUCUGGGCAGCUGGGGAAGGGCACCCACAGUGUUCUGAACAGAGUUGGAAGAACACCAGCGCUGAGAUGAGUCAGAGCCUCUCAAAGUGUGUGGUGAGUCACAAUCAAUGCCCCCCACCCUACCCCAGCUGUAACCAAAAAAAAAAAAAAAAAAAAAAAAAAAGUUGGGGGGGGUAGUUCUAAAAGGGAAGCAAUUAAAGGACACACCACAAAUCUCCUCCCUCUUAUCCUUUGCACCCUGAGUGUGCCUUCCUAAGAAGGCACAGACCAGAGACCAUAGUCUAAGUGCUGGCCAGAAGGAGAGCCAACAAAGCUAACUCUGAUUCUAACCGUAGCAUGUAGCAUGACAGACCAUAAGAAAGGGGACAGACGGGCCAGCACUUGCCACUGGGGUGUGAUCCCCAGCAGUGAAUCUUGGAGAAUCUGUAAGUGGUCCCAGGAUCCAGGGAGAUGUAUUAGGGAGCCUGUGAGCCCUGCAUCUUAGACAGUUGGGUUAAGUUUAACUCCUUCUUCUGUCAUUUAUGCUUGUGAUAUUGGGGCAAGUCACUUAAAAACUCUGAACCUUAUUUCCCUUAUCUGAAGGUAGUAAUAUUCUUUCCCAGUAGGUGGUUGGUUUGGUGAUGGGGGUGGGAGAAGGGACUGCAGGUUCCUAAGCAGGAUUUCAUGGUAUUGCUCAGUUCAACACUGAGCCUAAAAUGAAGGAGGUACUCCCUAAAGUAUACGCUGAAUGACUAAGUAAUCCUGCCCCUGGAUCAUCUGGGUGGUGCUGUGCUUGAUACCGGUGGAUAUGUUUUCCAGGACACAAUUUCUUUAGACCCUCCCACAUUCCCCAGAGAUCAGGAACUGUCUGUCUUCUAACCUGGGAAUUGUGUAUGUUCUAUGAGGAAACAUUACAUAGAAAAGCUACAAGUUUAAGUGUCUAAAGGAUCAAAAAGCUCGGUCCAGUGACCUAUAGAUGCGUACAUUUUCUUUUUAAAAAAAAUUUUUUUUUCAACGUUUUUUUUUUAAUUUUAUUUUUGGGACAGAGAGAGACAGAGCAUGAACGGGGGAGGGGCAGAGAGAGAGGGAGACACAGAAUUAGAUGUGUACAUUUUCAAAAAAAUGGCUCUCCCCUGCCAAUAGGCUACCACUGAAAAUUAAUAUCUUAAAAAUUUUUUUUAAUUUUUAAUUUUUUAUUUUGAAGAGUAUGGAAAGGGGCAGAAGGAGAGAGAGAGAGAAAGAGAGAGAGAGAAAAUCUUAACUUAAGCAGGCUUUGCACUCAUUGUGGAGCCUGACACAGGCUCAAGUCCAUGACCCUGGAAUCUUGACCUGAGCUGAAAUCAUCAAGAUCCGGAAGCUCAACUGCUCAACUGACGGAACUACCCAGGUACCCCUUGAAAAUUAACAUCUUAAUGAUGGCGAGAAAGCCAGAGGCUUUGUUAGUGCUCACUUUGGAGAAAUACCUUUCAGCAUUUUACCGAAGCCUUCUUCUCUGAAAGGCUUUGUUUUGGGUCCACCCAACAAAAAGAAUUGCAGAUAAGGCACAGAAGCCCUAUCUAAAACCUCCAAUCUAAUAGAAGGAAAUGACUGUGCAGAAGUCUGGAGUACAGAGGCAGGCUGCCUUAGGAAAAGCCUGAAGACAGAGUCGUGAGACAGUCUUGCUAAUUUUUGUAAUUCUCACAUGGCCUAUUGUUCCGUCAUGCAAAAAAAAAAAAUAAUGCUAAUGCUAAUGAGGUAAUAGUAAUAAUGUAAUCGCAAACAUCCCGAGUACUUAUUCCAUGCCAAACAAUGUGCUGAGAGCCUCGUGUAUCUAUAGGUUGCUUCCUUUAAUGUUUACAACUCUACUAGGUAGCUUCCGUUAUUGAAGCAGAUUACGGAUAAGGGAAUUAAAGCAAAGAUUUUUCUCUGGGAGAUGCUAAAGACAUUCAUUUGCUUGUUCAUCUGAAUUUCAGCACCUUAUAAAAAUUUAGGAAAUAAAAAUGGAAGAAAAAUUGUGUUUUGCUUCUAG
ensembl:lncRNA